CAACGCCGCGUGGAGGAUGAAGCCCCUUGGGGCGUAAACUCCUUUCGAUGGGGACGAUAAUGACGGUACCCGAGGAAGAAGCACCGGCUAACUCUGUGC
rnacentral:rRNA from 1 species